CCACUGCCGCUGCCACUCCUCCAUGUGUGGAUGAUGAGAAUAUAAAAUUAAAGAUAUCCAUUUUCAGUGACUCAAGACUGGCCAAUCUGCUUUACAGUGCAUAUACAAUCUUGCCCAAAACCCCAUUAUAUGUAGCUCUGGAAGCUAAAUAUAGUGGAACUAAAACUCAUAUUUUAAUCAUCAAUUCAUUCUAUGCCAGCAACGAUACUGAGAGAGGGUCCAUUGAGCCUUUUAUUUUGGAUGGGUGUCUAGGCAAUUCAACAGUGAACACAAGUCAGAUUGCCGGUCUACAGUAUGAAGGUGAAACCUAUGCAGUUAAAGGAUACAGUGUUGAUGGAGAAGAUUAAAAUAAUGUACAUUAUUGAAACAGAGGCUGGUUCAACUAACUUAUCUCUACUAGUCUCUCAAAGAACAAUUCAUUAAAGAAGCCAGCUUUCUGACCCAAACAAAAUUGAAAACCUAUAUUCUAAAACAAAUGUUGUUUGAAUUUGGGACACACUUUAAUAAACUUGAGUGUGCUAUAUAUAUAUUGGAUUUAAAUCUGUAUAGUAGGGAAAUAUUUACCUAGAGAGCAUAUUUAUUGAAUUCUUUAUCUGAAAUAUACAUUUAAUUAUUAUGAUAUGUUUGUUUUAAUUGAGAGUUAUUUUGCAUGCAAAUAUUUUUGUCCUAUGUGUUUGCUCUUAAGUCAUGGUAUAUACAAUAGGUGUUUUGCUGGGAAAUGAAUGCAUGUUUUGUUAAAUACAAAAUGUAUAUAUAGCUUCAUAAAGUUGCCAGUUCAUAAUA